UACGGGGGGGGCAAGCGUUGUUCGGAAUUACUGGGCGUAAAGGGCUCGUAGGCGGCCAACUAAGUCGGAUGUGAAAUCCCCAGGCUUAACCUGGGAACUGCAUCCGAUACUGGAUGGCUUGAAUCCGGGAGAGGGAUGCGGAAUUCCAGGUGUAGCGGUGAAAUGCGUAGAUAUCUGGAGGAAUACCGGUGGCGAAGGCGGCUAUCUGGCCAAACAUUGACGCUGAGAGACGAAAGCGUGGGGAUCAAACAGG
rnacentral:rRNA from 1 species